rnacentral:rRNA from 1 species
GACGAACGCUGGCGGCGUGCUUAACACAUGCAAGUCGAACGGAAAGGCCCUGCUUUUGUGGGGUGCUCGAGUGGCGAACGGGUGAGUAACACGUGAGUAACCUGCCCUUGACUUUGGGAUAACUUCAGGAAACUGGGGCUAAUACCGGAUAGGAGCUCCUGCUGCAUGGUGGGGGUUGGAAAGUUUCGGCGGUUGGGGAUGGACUCGCGGCUUAUCAGCUUGUUGGUGGGGUAGUGGCUUACCAAGGCUUUGACGGGUAGCCGGCCUGAGAGGGUGACCGGCCACAUUGGGACUGAGAUACGGCCCAGACUCCUACGGGAGGCAGCAGUGGGGAAUAUUGCACAAUGGGCGGAAGCCUGAUGCAGCAACGCCGCGUGCGGGAUGACGGCCUUCGGGUUGUAAACCGCUUUCGCCUGUGACGAAGCGUGAGUGACGGUAAUGGGUAAAGAAGCACCGGCUAACUACGUGCCAGCAGCCGCGGUGAUACGUAGGGUGCGAGCGUUGUCCGGAUUUAUUGGGCGUAAAGGGCUCGUAGGUGGUUGAUCGCGUCGGAAGUGUAAUCUUGGGGCUUAACCCUGAGCGUGCUUUCGAUACGGGUUGACUUGAGGAAGGUAGGGGAGAAUGGAAUUCCUGGUGGAGCGGUGGAAUGCGCAGAUAUCAGGAGGAACACCAGUGGCGAAGGCGGUUCUCUGGGCCUUUCCUGACGCUGAGGAGCGAAAGCGUGGGGAGCGAACAGGCUUAGAUACCCUGGUAGUCCACGCUGUAAACGGUGGGUACUAGGUGUGGGGUCCAUUCCACGGGUUCCGUGCCGUAGCUAACGCUUUAAGUACCCCGCCUGGGGAGUACGGCCGCAAGGCUAAAACUCAAAGGAAUUGACGGGGCCCCGCACAAGCGGCGGAGCAUGCGGAUUAAUUCGAUGCAACGCGUAGAACCUUACCUGGGUUUGACAUGGAUCGGGAGUGCUCAGAGAUGGGUGUGCCUCUUUUGGGGUCGGUUCACAGGUGGUGCAUGGCUGUCGUCAGCUCGUGUCGUGAGAUGUUGGGUUAAGUCCCGCAACGAGCGCAACCCUUGUUCACUGUUGCCAGCACGUUAUGGUGGGGACUCAGUGGAGACCGCCGGGGUCAACUCGGAGGAAGGUGGGGAUGACGUCAAGUCAUCAUGCCCCUUAUGUCCAGGGCUUCACGCAUGCUACAAUGGCUGGUACAGAGAGUGGCGAGCCUGUGAGGGUGAGCGAAUCUCGGAAAGCCGGUCUCAGUUCGGAUUGGGGUCAGCAACUCGACUUCAUGAAGUCGGAGUCGCUAGUAAUCGCAGAUCAGCAACGCUGCGGUGAAUACGUUCCCGGG